GUUCGCCUGGUGACUAAACAAACUAACUUACAGCCAGAAGGCAUGUUUACAGUGAGAAUACUUUUUACCCCGGCAUUCUGGGUAACCAAGAACUCGCAGGAGUAGGAAAAAGACAAGAAACGCGUAUUUACAAAAGGUCUGCAUAAUGUCUGCUGGACAAACCUGUGCUAACCGGUGCCUGAAACCCUCAGCGGGAUGCCGUGGACAGAGAUUCACCUCAGGCAAGAGGAACAACAGCUCUCUUUAAAUGUGAAAAGCUCUCCCUGUUUGAGUCAGAUGGUCGGUCCUUUCCUGAGGGUUUUUUUCUCCUGCACCCUCUGCUGUCUGACCCAUCACAUGAUUGGCUUGCUGUCCUGAGCUGCAAUCUCAUUAUCUCCGCUUCUUCCCACUGGCCCUACAACCCCAAACUCAACAGCAAACUACUAAAUACAUAGGCUCAGCGUUGAAUCAGGAGGGCUGUGGCAUGAUUGAGACAGACAGAAUGUCCUCUUCAAUCGCUGCCUCUACCUCUGAUGUGGCUGUUAAUGUCUGUCUGAGUUAUGGAACUGCAUAUGAUCCAGCAGCUUUAUACAACACACGGUGCCUAAGCUCUUCGUCUGGCCCCAAACCUCCAGACUAACGUUCAGUCAUGCUCAUCAAGACUGCAGAUCUAUUGUUCUUUCCUCAGCAGCUCCAGUCUAGCCCCGGCGCUCUCGCUCUCCCCCGCCCUCCCUUCAUUCUCUCUGCUGGAUAAUUCCCAUGAUAUGUUCUUGCCAUUGGCGUGGGGCGUACCACUCUCAAAGAGGGGUGAGUAGAAACCAAACAGGAGCUCUUUACACCUCCACGCUGAUUUCUCUACCAACCUUUGCAUUUUAAAACCACAUAUGGCGUCUAUUCGCAAAGGUACCGAUGAGGCACGGUAAUGCUAUUAAGAGAGUUUGAUAUCUGUAGGCGCAGCAUGUAACUCCCACCCCUCUGUUGCACAAACAUGGCAUGACCCGAUCCCCUCUCGGCGUAGUAAAGUGCCUGUUUUAUUGACUCAAUGUCUUAAGGGCAGUUCUCUUCCCGUUUUUCUCGCAGUGCCCUGCGAGAUCUUAACAGGACAGGAAUGAGAGAGGAAUAACAAUUAUGUCACUGCAUGAAAGCGUACGCUUGAUAAACUAACAAAAUGGACGACACGAGUGCUGCCUCUUUCCACGAUAACAUCGCAGAGGCAAAAGAGCAUCAGAACAAAUCACAAACGUACAAACGCAAGGCGAGAGAAAGCCAGGAAAGCAGAUGAAAGAUCAGGCUGAUGAACACCGUCUGUCUCUGUCACCUCAUGCCCAGAAGCUGAAUUCAAACCUUAACAUGACACCGUCUCUGCCAAACGCAGCGCCGCUGACUGCUGCCAGAUUGCCAUACAUCUGUUUCACAGCUAAACUACUGCUGUUCCUUUCUGCUGGAUCUGAAGCAGCUCUCAGUCACCAAAAUUUACUGUUUCAUUUCACGUUUCUGCUCGCGGACGAUUCACCGGUGCAUGUUGUUCCAGAGAAAACAAUGCAAUGAGAUCAAUAAUGAAAUAAACUGAGAGAGCGCGGCUGAUAUCUAAGCAUGCGAGGGGUUGAGAGAAGUUGAGUUUGCCCUUCUCUGACCUCUCUAUUGUGAGGUUUGCAGCAGUCUAAACCAGUCCUUUCACUGCCUGCUGCUUUUUAGAGGACAGCGCACACCACUGCUCUUCUAAUUCAUGAUUUAAAAACACUUUGGCUACUUGCCCGUGUGAAAAACAUGUCCCUGAACACAUCGGGUCUCAUUCAUGAAACUCAAGUGGAAGGAAUUUCUGUGUUAACCGUUUAGACAUCUAAUGCAACAGUUCACAUGAAGUGUAAAAUGUAAUUUUCUACGAUUGAUUUCCUAUUCGUUCUGCUUGUGUUUCAUGAAUGAGGCCAACUUUGAUCAAUAAUUGUGCUAAAUAAUCUGCGAUUGAGGAGAAAUCAUUUGAUAGUAAUUUGGCAUAAUUAAUUACAUUGUAAAAAUGGUUAAUCAUGGCUGUAUUUAUUUGAUUAAAAUACAGUAAAAACGGCAAUAU